AACACAUGUGGAGGAUAUUUCCGCAGGUUCUCCUUGAACCUAUCCCACAUCUCAAAAAGAGACUCCAAUUCCAUUUGCACAAAGGAGGAUAUUUCAUUCCUGAGUUU